GGGGUUAUAGUUUAAUUGGUAAAACAAGGGCUUUGCAUGUCUUGGAAUCAGGUUCGAUUCCUGAUAACUCCA